rnacentral:ncRNA from 1 species
GCCUCCCAAAAGGUAACGGAGGCGUGCAAAGGUUUCCUCGGGCCAGACGGACAUUGGUCCUCGAGUGCAAAGGCAGAAGGGAGCUUGACUGCAAGACUCACCCGUCGAGCAGAGACGAAAGUCGGCCUUAGUGAUCCGACGGUGUGGGUCCAACUUCAGCCUAUU